rnacentral:rRNA from 1 species
GUAGGUGGCAAGCGUUGUCCGGAAUUAUUGGGCGUAAAGCGCGCGCAGGCGGUUCGUUUAAGUCUGAUGUGAAAGCCCACGGGCUCAACCGUGGAGGGUCAUUGGAAACUGGAGAACUUGAGUACAGAAGAGGAAAGCGGAAUUCCACGUGUAGCGGUGAAAUGCGUAGAGAUGUGGAGGAACACCAGUGGCGAAGGCGGCUUUCUGGUCUGUAACUGACGCUGAGGCACGAAAGCGUGGGGAGCAAACAGGAUUAGAUACCCUGGUAGUCCACGCCGUAAACGAUGAGUGCUAAGUGUUAGGGGGUUUCCGCCCCUUAGUGCUGCAGCUAACGCAUUAAGCACUCCGCCUGGGGAGUACGGCCGCAAGGCUG